CUGGGUGGCGCAGCGGUUUGGCGCCUGCCUUUGGCCCAGGGAGCGAUCCUGGAGACCUGGGAUCGAAUCCCACGUCGGGCUCCUGGUGCAUGGAGCCUGCUCCUCCCUCUGCCUAUGUCUCUGCCUCUCUCUCUCUCUCUCUCUCUCUCUCUGUGUGACUAUCAUAAAUAAAUUAAAAUGUUAAAAAAAAAUAGGUGGAGGUGGGUCAGGUAGAUGAAAAGAAAAAACAGCAUAUGCCAGACGUAGCAAGCAUUAUUAUUUCUUUCUACAGGUGUGGACACCAAGGCUAAGAGAGGUUAGUGGACAGGCUUCAGAUCACACAGACAGAGCUGGAAUACGGACCCAGGUCUGCCCCUCUCAGAAGUCCACUCCAUCACAUCACCACCACACAUUUACUGCUAUGUUUGCGACUGAGCUUCUUAUCAACAGGAAACGCCUGCCUAAGGGGACGAGGCAGGUCCAAGAGGACUGGACGCCAGGGACUGGGAAUUCUGGGUAGUGCACUGCUGCUGUCCAGCCUCACCGAGUGGCCUCAUGAUCCCCAGGACCCAGUAAGGCUCUUUGCCUUGGUAUCCGGUGAAUCCUUAGGUCUGUGUAGUGAGACCGCACACCAGACAGGCCCCAAGGCCAAAAGGUCUGCAGGACGGUGUGUGUGUGGCGGGGGGGUGCUCCAUCCCUACCCUCUGUGACCGAGGGCAAGUGACCAAACAGCUCAAGCUAUGAAAUGAGGUUUGCCCUUGGCCCUAAAACCCACCAAACCCCCUCCUUUCUAGCCAAGCAGAGGCCAAGUGACCUGCCAAGGUCACAGGCAACUUAGUGACAGUCACCCCAAUUGGCCCUUCUAGUGUGUUUGCCUCAAGCCUUCAGAGGAUGGCACUUGUGCUGGGCAUCCAGGGCUGGGACCAUUAGUGCUUGGCAGAGACUUCCAGACCAAGGGGAGGAGCGGCCCUCUAGCACUGAUUGACCUCCUACUACGUGCCAGGUGCUUUAAAAACACUGAUCACCAGACCAGGACGGGGCUCCCACAUGGGGCUCCCAGGAGAGGGACAGACUGAGGGUCAGAUUUCACAGGAGGCGAAGAUCACAUCUUAGUGCUGAAAAUAAACGCCCAAGAGGGAUA
rnacentral:lncRNA from 12 species